AUGAACGCUGGCGGCGUGCUUAACACAUGCAAGUCGAACGAUUAAAGCUCACUUCGGUGAGUGUAUAGAGUGGCGAACGGGUGAGUAACACGUGGGAAACCUGCCCCUUUCUUCGGGAUAACUUCGGGAAACCGUUGCUAAUACCGGAUACUCCGGGAUGGUCGCAUGGCCGACCCGGGAAAGCUUUAUGUGGAAAGGGAUGGUCCCGCGGCCCAUUAGCUUGUUGGUGGGGUAAUGGCCUACCAAGGCAAUGAUGGGUAGCCG
rnacentral:rRNA from 1 species